rnacentral:rRNA from 1 species
GACGAACGCUGGCGGCGUGCUUAACACAUGCAAGUCGAACGGAAAGGCCUGCUUUCCCUUGUGGAUUGCGGGUACUCGAGUGGCGAACGGGUGAGUAACACGUGAGUGAUCUGCCCCCAACUUGGGUAUAAGCCUGGGAAACUGGGUCUAAUUCCCGAUAGGACUGCAGGGUGGUGCCUGUGGUGGAAAACGAUUUUCUAGUGGUUGGGGAUGAGCUCGCGGCCUAUCAGCUUGUUGGUGGGGUAAUGGCCUACCAAGGCGGCGACGGGUAGCCGGCCUGAGAGGGUGGACGGCCACAUUGGGACUGAGAUACGGCCCAGACUCCUACGGGAGGCAGCAGUGGGGAAUAUUACACAAUGGGCGGAAGCCUGAUGCAGCGACGCCGCGUGGGGGAUGACGGCCUUCGGGUUGUAAACUCCUUUCGACCGGGAGGAAGCCACCUGGUUGGAAGGGUGGUGACGGUAGUGGUAGAAGAAGCACCGGCUAACUACGUG